rnacentral:rRNA from 1 species
AGAAUCAACGCUGGCGGCGUGCCUAACACAUGCAAGUCGCACGAGAAAGGGACUUCGGUCCUGAGUACAGUGGCGCACGGGUGAGUAACACGUGACUAAUCUACCUUUGAGUGGGGAAUAAACCUGGGGAAACCCGGGCUAAUACCGCAUAAUACCUACGGGUCAAAGCAGCAAUGCGCUUAAAGAGGAGGUCGCGGUCGAUUAGUUAGUUGGCGGGGUAAUGGCCCACCAAGACAGUGAUCUGUA